UACGGAGGGUGCAAGCGUUAAUCGGAAUAACUGGGCGUAAAGCGCACGCAGGCGGUUUGUUAAGCCAGAUGUGAAAGCCCCGGGCUCAACCCGGGAACUGCAUUUGGAACUGGCAGACUAGAGUCUUGGAGAGGGGGGUAGAAUUUCCGGUGUAGCGGUGAAAUGCGUAGAGAUCGGAAGGAAUACCAGUGGCGAAGGCGGCCCCCUGGCCAAAGACUGACGCUCAGGUGCGAAAGCGUGGGGAGCAAACAGG
rnacentral:rRNA from 1 species